GGUUAAGCGACUAAGCGUACACGGUGGAUGCCCUGGCAGUCAGAGGCGAUGAAGGACGUGCUAAUCUGCGAUAAGCGUCGGUAAGGUGAUAUGAACCGUUAUAACCGGCGAUUUCCGAAUGGGGAAACCCAGUGUGAUUCGUCACACUAUCAUUAACUGAAUCCAUAGGUUAAUGAGGCGAACCGGGGGAACUGAAACAUCUAAGUACCCCGAGGAAAAGAAAUCAACCGAGAUUCCCCCAGUAGCGGCGAGCGAACGGGGAGCAGCCCAGAGCCUGAAUCAGUGUGUGUGUUAGUGGAAGCGUCUGGAAAGGCGCGCGAUACAGGGUGACAGCCCCGUACACAAAAAUGCACAUGCUGUGAGCUCGAUGAGUAGG
rnacentral:rRNA from 1 species